ACCUGGGUGGCUCAGUCAGUUGAGCGACUGACUUCGGCUCAGGUCAUGAUCUCACGGUUCAUGGGUUCGAGCCCCGUGUCAGGCU
rnacentral:tRNA from 1 species